rnacentral:rRNA from 1 species
UACGUGGGGUGCGAGCGUUGUCCGGAAUUACUGGGCGUAAAGAGCUCGUAGGUGGUUUGUCGCGUUGUUCGUGAAAACCGGGGGCUUAACCCUCGGCGUGCGGGCGAUACGGGCAGACUUGAGUACUGCAGGGGAGACUGGAAUUCCUGGUGUAGCGGUGGAAUGCGCAGAUAUCAGGAGGAACACCGGUGGCGAAGGCGGGUCUCUGGGCAGUAACUGACGCUGAGGAGCGAAAGCGUGGGGAGCGAACAGG